rnacentral:rRNA from 1 species
GAUGAACGCUGGCGGCGUGCCUAACACAUGCAAGUCGAGCGAUUCUCUUCGGAGAAGAGCGGCGGACGGGUGAGUAACGCGUGGGUAACCUGCCCUGUACACACGGAUAACAUACCGAAAGGUAUGCUAAUACGAGAUAAUAUACUUUUAUCGCAUGGUAGAAGUAUCAAAGCUUUUGCGGCACAGGAUGGACCCGCGUCUGAUUAGCUAGUUGGUAAGGUAACGGCUUACCAAGGCGACGAUCAGUAGCCGACCUGAGAGGGUGAUCGGCCACAUUGGAACUGAGACACGGUCCAAACUCCUACGGGAGGCAGCAGUGGGGAAUAUUGCACAAUGGGCGAAAGCCUGAUGCAGCAACGCCGCGUGAGCGAUGAAGGCCUUCGGGUCGUAAAGCUCUGUCCUCAAGGAAGAUAAUGACGGUACUUGAGGAGGAAGCCCCGGCUAACUACGUGCCAGCCGCCGCCGUAAUAC